rnacentral:rRNA from 1 species
UACGUAGGGACCGAGCGUUGUCCGGAAUCAUUGGGCGUAAAGAGCGUGUAGGCGGCUAUUUAAGUCCUGCGUGAAAUCCUGCGGCUCAACCGCAGACGGUCGUGGGAAACUGGAUGGCUAGAGUGCGGGAGAGGAGAGUGGAAUUCCCGGUGUAGCGGUGAAAUGCGCAGAUAUCGGGAAGAACACCCGUGGCGAAGGCGGCUCUCUGGGACGGUACUGACGCUGAGGCACGAAAGCUAGGGGAGCAAACAGG